AAAAGGGGGGUAGCAGCGGACUUCCCAUGAUGCCACUGGCUGUAUAAAAGCACACCUUUCCAAUGAUCCUUUCUCUUCCACCCGGACUCCGUGCGAGGCUGGCCGGAGAGGCAGCGUGCUAAUGUCUCUUUGCUGGCAAACAGACAAACUCUUCAAACUGGAUCCAAGGGUGUCAUACGAUCAUCAACCAUAUGCACUGAGUUAAAAGCAAACUGUGUUCCAGAGAACUCCCUGCAGAGACGCUGUCUCUACGAAGCCGAGUGGAGCAGUUUUCCCAGUCUGGAAAGAGGACAACAGAGACCGUAUCACCAUGGUAACGUGCAGCUUGGUCGGUCCGACAGCGAAUUCUUCAAGAUAAUCCUUGGUUCUCAAACAUAAACAUUGCAUGGAGUUUGCUUGCAGGAGCAUGUGGCCUUCAAAAGACUGUAUCCAAAGGAGCUGUUGCACUGCAAAGUGUUCUCUGCUUAACAUUAGCUCACCCAAGCUCUGAGAAAGAGCUCUUUGACUGUAGACUCUGGAAAAAUGAAUAUUAUGUGCACUGGGACACUUGGAGAUAAAUAGAGACACAUUCUCUGCAUUAGGUUAGUUAGACUGGGGUGUUAUCGGUGAGACUACAUGCUGUGUGCUCUGUCUGCUGAACUAAUUGUGCAAGUAAAAAAUGCCUGUGUAUUCCCAUAUAAUGCAGUGUCUGAUGUUUCUCUUUUAGUACGUAAAAGUGAAUAUUCGAAUUUCACCUAACCUCUACCAUAUCACAAUUAGAUUGUUACUGAGAGUGCUACUCCAUCUCCCCGCAAGAAAGAAAGUAAACAGUCAGAGGAUGUUGACUCCUUGUUUUAAUUCAAAGUUGUGUACCUUAAAGCAGACCUCUAGGUAAUUGGAAAGAAAAAUGCCACUCUACACACCAGUAGUAUGAGUCCAGUGUCAGUGUGGCUCAGAACAGUGUCAUAGUUCUGUCCCACAUAGUCCUCCAACUCUCAAUAUAGAUGGUGUCCUGAGAUUCUUAAACAAAGAAAAUCAAAUUAAUGUUAUCCCUUCAAUUUAGUAACCAGUUCAUUACUAACGGAGCAUUAGAAAAAACUUGAUUUUCUGUCCAGCUGGGUUUUCCUGCAUUAAGGCACUAAAACUGUCAUAACCCCAUUUCCAUUGCUUGUAGAAAGCUUUUAAAAGCCCAGGGAACGUUUUGAUACAAAUUUACCUGGGUAUUGUCACUUUCCCAGGGCUAUACUUUUACAGGUGAAUGGUCCUGGUGUGGAGUAGAUCUUUCCAGAUUUCCCGGGAGUGGUAUAGUAGCCAAGGUGAGUAUACAAAUAAAUUAUUUUUAUACCAUCAAUUUGUGACAAAAAGUAGUUUUAAGAUGUUUUUAAGAGAAAAAGUAGAGCUCAAAAUUUCAUCUGGAUAGUCAGCGCAUGAAGAAUGACCCUACCGUACUUUGAAAUGUUUUUUCUGAGUUUUUGGAGCAGCGGAGCUCCGCUUACAUCCUGGUCUGGCUGCCAAGCUAAACUAACCGGGCGGCUGGACUUAAGACUUCCCCACUAACUGCUGCCCAAUAUCGGCCCGGCACUCAGAUUUCCAGCUACCUGUUAUGUUUGUAGUGGCUGAAAGUGAAUAUAAAGCGUUUCGUAGGUAUGUGGUGAAUAACUGAAAGUACAAUACAAAAUGGAGUAUUUUUUGCCAGAAAUAUGUCACAUUCUAAGUUAUUGUAGAGAAUAAUUAUAAAGUUUUGCCAAAGUUUUGUACAUAAAAAUACACAUUUCCCCAAGAUUAUCUUUUCAUGUAAACCUAACUUAGUAGAGUGUGAACUUUUUCGUAUUUUUAUUGCUGUCUUGUUGCUGAAAUGUGCUAUACAAAGAAACUUGCCUUUCCUUUUAAUUUUUCAUAGUUUUAUGCACACAGCUCUGCGGGAGGUGAGAACACAGUUCCAGGUUUGGAUGCAGUUUUUCAGAAGCGCUCCAAUUCUGUUCAUCCUCCACUGCCCGCGUAUCUUCUACUUUAUAUGAAUAUUUGCCGACGAUUAGACAGUCAAAGUAUCAAUUCCCUGUACUUUUGGACUGAUUAUCAGUGUUUUUAUUCUAAUAAAAGUUUUACUAAAAACAUU